UAGAGCAAGGAGUAGUAGAAGUCUAGUUGUCCCUGUUAAGGCAUUAAAACGCUUUAGGUUCACCCAUCGAUCUGGCUAUAUGAUAACUGGAUGUAUAAACUAUUGAAUAUAAAGGAGAAAAAGUGCUACUCGUCUUUCAGCUGUUUACUAAUACAUAAAUACUAUAUCUACUUGUUUUUUUUUACAUAGAUAUAAAAUAAAAUAUCUGUUAGCUAUGUUCCGUGAUUUGAGUAUGUGAUCCUCCAGAUAGUAUUUGGACCUAUUUCAUAUACUAUAAACAUCAAAUUAAAAACACGAAGUGAUGUCUCUUAUUGAGAAUUCUGGCUCCCAAUCUGAGGUAUCAAUAUUUUUCGUGUACCAAACGGACUGUCUCAUGAAUGGGGUUAUAAGAAAUGGAUACAAUCUGACUGAUGUUUCCAAUUGGUUCUAUUUCGGCACCAAAUAUAUGAAUCUUAUCCAUCCCAAUGAAUCAAUUAAAUUAUUAAUGCAACAUUAAUGAGAUAAUAUUUCCUAUUAUUUUAAACAAAUUCAUUGUAACUUUAAUUAGAAUUUAAAUCGGAAGUCAUAAAUACAAAAUAUGCAAUGGUUUUUUUUUUAGAUAUACGCUUUUUGUAAAGGUAUUUCUAAUCUGAUGGAAAUAAAAAUAUAUCUACAGCA
rnacentral:misc_RNA from 1 species